UACGUAGGGGGCAAGCGUUGUCCGGAUUUAUUGGGCGUAAAGAGCUCGUAGGUGGUUCGGUAAGUCGGAUGUGAAAUCUCCAGGCUCAACCUGGAGGGGUCAUUCGAUACUGCCGUGACUAGAGGUCGGUAGGGGAGUGUGGAAUUCCUGGUGGAGCGGUGAAAUGCGCAGAUAUCAGGAGGAACACCGGUGGCGAAGGCGGGUCUCUGGGCCGAUAUUGACGCUGAGGAGCGAAAGCGUGGGGAGCAAACAGG
rnacentral:rRNA from 1 species